UGCAAGUCGUGGGGCAGCAUGGGGUAGCAAUACUCUGAUGGCGACCGGCAAACGGGUGCGGAACACGUACGCAACCUUCCUUUAACUGGAGAAUAGCCCCUCGAAAGAGGGAUUAAUACUCCGUAACAUGAUGAUAAGGCAUCUUAUUAUUAUUAUAGCUCCGGCGGUUAAAGAUGGGCGUGCGCCUGAUUAGGUAGUUGGCGGGGUAACGGCCCACCAAGCCUGCGAUCAGUAACUGGUGUGAGAGCACGACCAGUCACACGGGCACUGAGACACGGGCCCGACUCCUACGGGAGGCAGCAGUAAGGAAUAUUGGUCAAUGGACGCAAGUCUGAACCAGCCAUGCCGCGUGGAGGAUUAAGGCCCUCUGGGUUGUAAACUCCUUUUAUCUGGGAAGAAAUCCAUAUAUUCUUAUGUGGUUGACGGUACCAGAGGAAUAAGCACCGGCUAACUCCGUGCCAGCAGCCGCGGUAAUACGGAGGGUGCAAGCGUUAUCCGGAUUCACUGGGUUUAAAGGGUGCGUAGGCGGGUAAGUAAGUCCGUGGUGAAAUCUCUGAGCUUAACUCAGAAACUGCCGUGGAUACUAUUUGCCUUGAAUAUUGUGGAGGUGAGCGGAAUAUGUCAUGUAGCGGUGAAAUGCUUAGAUAUGACAUAGAACACCAAUUGCGAAGGCAGCUCACCACACAAUCAUUGACGCUGAGGCACGAGAGCGUGGGGAUCAAACAGGAUUAGAUACCCUGGUA
rnacentral:rRNA from 1 species